UACGUAGGGGGCAAGCGUUGUCCGGAAUUACUGGGCGUAAAGCGCGUGUAGGCGGGACGGUUAGUCGGACGUGAAAGGCUGGGGCUCAACCCCAGAUCGCCGUUCGAAACUGCCGUUCUUGAGGGUCGAAGAGGAGAGUGGAAUUCCUGGUGUAGCGGUGAAAUGCGUAGAGAUCAGGAGGAACACCCAUGGCGAAGGCAGCUCUCUGGUCGACAUCUGACGCUGGAGACGGCGAAAGCGUGGGGAGCGGACGGG
rnacentral:rRNA from 1 species